GAGCUCGGAUCCGUGUGGAGCACAUUAUCCGCGAAGACUACCUCGUGGAGGCCAUGGAGAUCCUGGAGCUGUACUGUGACCUGCUGCUGGCUCGGUUUGGCCUUAUCCAGUCUAUGAAGGAACUAGAUUCUGGUCUGGCUGAAUCUGUGUCUACAUUGAUCUGGGCUGCUCCUCGACUCCAGUCAGAAGUGGCUGAGUUGAAAAUAGUUGCUGAUCAGCUCUGUGCCAAGUAUAGCAAGGAAUAUGGCAAGCUAUGUAGGACCAACCAGAUUGGAACUGUGAAUGACAGGCUAAUGCACAAGCUGAGUGUGGAAGCCCCACCCAAAAUCCUGGUGGAGAGAUACCUGAUUGAAAUUGCAAAGAAUUACAAUGUACCCUAUGAACCUGACUCUGUGGUCAUGGUAAGUUUAUCCCAGAAUACAAAGAAAAAUGAGUUUGUAGGUAUGACCUUCUUUGGAAAACAAAAAAAAAUAUUCUUUGCACUAACUUAAAUUUGUGUGAGUUUAAGCCUUUGUCCAGUUAGUACCUUUAUGACAAUAAAUGUGCCUGCAUAUCUCACAGGGUACUUAAGGAAUUAGAUGAAUGACAACACUUUGAGAGGGUCAAAACCUUGAUACAAAUGUAAAAUGGCACUAUUACUGCUACUUUUUGGUGAACUUCAGGAAUUGAGAAACCUCCUGUUCAUAGCAAGAAAUGCCCAAGACCCAAAC
rnacentral:sRNA from 1 species